GCACUGCUGAGGAGUCCCAUAAUAGGACGAAACGGCCGUCCAGUGN
rfam:Schistosoma rodhaini strain Burundi genome assembly, scaffold: SROB_scaffold0000541